rnacentral:rRNA from 1 species
GAUGAACGCUGGCGGCGUGCCUAAUACAUGCAAGUCGAGCGAACGGACGAGAAGCUUGCUUCUCUGAUGUUUGCGGCGGACGGGUGAGUAACACGAGGAUAACCUACCUAUAAGACUGGGAUAACUUCGGGAAACCGGAGCUAAUCCCGGAUAAUCUUUUGAACCGUAUGGUUCAUAAGUGAAAUACGGUCUUGCUGUCACUUAUAGAUGGAUCCGCGCUGCAUUAGCUAGUUGGUAAGGUAACGGCUUACCAAGGCAACGAUGCAUAGCCGACCUGAGAGGGUGAUCGGCCACACUGGAACGUAGACACGGUCCAGGCUCCUACGGGAGGCAGCAGUAGGGAAUCUGCCGCAAUGGGCGAAAGCCUGACGGAGCAACGCCACGUGAGUGAUGAAGGUCUUCGGAGCGUAAAACUCUGUUAUUAGGGAAGAACAGAUGUGUAAGUAACUGUGCACAUCUUGACGGUACCUAAUCAGAAAGCCACGGCUAACUACGUG